GCCGCUGUAGCUCAGUAGGUAGAGCGCAUCCUUGGUAAGGAUGAGGUCACCAGUUCAAUCCUGGUCAGUGGCUCCA
rnacentral:tRNA from 2 species